rnacentral:lncRNA from 1 species
AAAUGACCAAGGAGAGUUCUUUUUCAAAGAGUUAGUCUGCGCGCAUUAAAAGCUUUGAUGGUACUGAUACAGUGGUCACAAACUCCACGUUCACACCACACAUUUGUUUCCUCCUUACAGCUCUGUCCACGAGUGUUGCAGGGACAGUUGUGGGCGUGGGGAUUUUUUUCGGGUGAAAAACACAUAGAGCUCGAAGCUAAAAGGGGGCACAACACUUGUGUGUCAGUGUGUGACAGGUGAAGAGUCGUCUGCACGGGGACAUGGCUGCGACGCUGCUCACUGCGAUGCUCAUGAUCGCAUCCGCCUGUGAGGGAGUGCUGCUGAGAAAAUCGACAGCAUCAGACUUCCUGCAGAAAGCGAGGGAGAAGCGGGCGUCAGAGUGUUUUCCUGGAGGCUGCAGCACAGAGGUCAACGAGAUUGAAGAGCUAGACAUGGAUUUAGGACAUGAAGACAGCUCCAGGCUGCUGAAUAUUGCUGGUGCUAUUCAGACAGAGACAAAUGAUCAGAGCCGUGGAGCAGACGCUGUGGACGAUGGAGGAUCUGGGAUGUAGCCAGGAGGGACAGUGCAGCACGAUGCUGUUGUGAAACCGAAAACUUUUCCCCCAAAUCGUAAAGUUGAAGGCAGGUUUGCAUGCAAAUCAACCUAAACCAACAAAAUUAAAACUAUAUAAAUUUAUAUGCAUAAUCAAAGAGACAAACUGCUGCUCUUCAACAAAACAUUUAUAAAAUAAAGAGAAUGAAUCAUUUAUUUUUCCCA